UAAGCCGAUAAAACCCUUGGGUUGUGGUGAUACUGGCAGCGUUCACCUGGUGGAACUGCAGGAGACUGGCGAACUGUAUGCUAUGAAAGCAAUGGAAAAAUCUAUAAUGAUAAAUUGUAACAAGGUUCACCGAGUAUGCACUGAAAGGGAAAUCAUGUCGUUACUCGAUCAUCCUUUUCUUCUGACACUCUAUGCUUCCUUUCAGGUAUU